rnacentral:misc_RNA from 1 species
GACGAAGAACGCAGCGAAAUGCGAUAAGUAAUGUGAAUUGCAGAAUUCAGUGAAUCAUCGAAUCUUUGAACGCACAUUGCGCCCGCCAGUAUUCUGGCGGGCAUGCCUGUUCGAGCGUCAUUUCAACCAUCAAGCUCCCGGGCUUGCGUUGGGGCCCUGCGGCUGCCGCAGGCCCCUAAAACCAGUGGCGGGCUCGCUGUCACACCGAGCGCAGUAGCAUUUCUUCGCUCUGGGCGCGGCGGCGGGCGCUUACCGUAAAACAUACCACUUUUUAAAGGUUGACCUCGGAUCAGGUAGGAAUACCCGCUGAACUUAAGCAUAUCAAUAAGCGGAGGA